CAUUAACAUCAUCAAUUUCUUUGUCUGCCGCGACCGAACCCGCCUCGCCGUAGGUAUUUCUAAGGCGAGUAGCCAUUCAUGGUACAAAUUAAAUAUGUUUAAAUUUUAGUUUGAAAUCAGGUUUAUAGGUUUAUGGCUUCCAACAGACUCAAGAAUCUACUCUUAAUUACCCCACACUUUCAAUAUUAAGAAACCCUCGAUUAAGAGACCAAAUAUAAAUGCUGAUAAUAAAAGAGACCGAACAUGAAAAUAAAAAUUUAUUAACAUGAUUUGCCGUGUACGUGGCUUAAGCAGGGGCAUUCCUACACUAUACAUAGAAUUCAUAAAAUUAAUUACUCAAUUUAUAGACUUGAUGGUCGAUUUGGAUUAGAUUGAGAUGCUCAGUUUAGCGACAUGGCGGUCGAAUUUCGAUUGAGUUGUUCAGUUUAGCGACAUGACGGUCGAUUUGAGUUUUGAUACUCAGUUUAAUGAUAUAGCGGUCAGUUUGAGUUUUGAUACUCAAUUUAAUAACAUGGCGGUCGGAUAUUCAGUUUAAUGACUUAACAGUCCUCUGUUCAGUUUAACGAUAUGAUGGUCAAAUCUCAACUUGAUUUGCUCACUUUAGCGACUUGGCGGUCGAUUGAAGUUGAGAUACUCAGUUUAGCGACAUGGCGGUCGGUUGGGAUCAAAUUGAGAUGCUCAGUUUAGUAAUAUGGCGGUCGAUUUUAGAUUGAAUUGUUCAGUUUAGCGACUUAGCGAUCGAUUUGAGUUUUGAUACUCAGUUUAAGGACAUAGCGGUCAGAUGUUCAAUUUAACGACUUGAUGGUCAAAUAUUCAGUUUAACGACUUGAUGGUCAUAUCUGAAUUUAAUUUGCUCAGUUUAGCGACCUGGCGGUCGACUGAAAUUGAGAUGCUCAGUUUAACGGUAUGGCGGUCGAAAGGGUUUGAUUUGGUUGCUCAUUAACGACUUAGCGGUCAAAUGUUCAAUUUAAUGACUUAAUAGUCAUUUGUUCAGUUUAACAACUUAACGGUCAUAUUUGAACUUGAUUUACUCAGUUUAGCGACUUGGCGGUCGAUUUUAGAUUGAGUUGCUCAGUUUAAUGACAUGUCGAUCCGUUUGAGUCGAAUCUCAUGAAAUUGGUUCAUGAAAUUAAUUCGUAUUAGGAGCCC
rnacentral:lncRNA from 1 species